rnacentral:rRNA from 1 species
AACCAGUACCGUGAGGGAAAGGUGAAAAGCACCCCGGAAGGGGAGUGAAAUAGAACCUGAAACCGUGUGCUUACAAGUAGUCAGAGCCCGUUAAUGGGUGAUGGCGUGCCUUUUGUAGAAUGAACCGGCGAGUUACGAUUUGAUGCAAGGUUAAGCAGUAAAUGUGGAGCCGUAGCGAAAGCGAGUCUGAAUAGGGCGUUUAGUAUUUGGUCGUAGACCCGAAACCAGGUGAUCUACCCUUGGUCAGGUUGAAGUUCAGGUAACACUGAAUGGAGGACCGAACCGACUUACGUUGAAAAGUGAGCGGAUGAACUGAGGGUAGCGGAGAAAUUCCAAUCGAACCUGGAGAUAGCUGGUUCUCUCCGAAAUAGCUUUAGGGCUAGCCUCAAGUGAUGAUUAUUGGAGGUAGAGCACUGUUUGGACGAGGGGCCCCUCUCGGGUUACCGAAUUCAGACAAACUCCGAAUGCCAAUUAAUUUAACUUGGGAGUC